UACAGAGGGUGCGAGCGUUUAAUCGGAAUUACUGGGCGUAAAGCGUGCGUAGACGGUUAUUUAAGUCGGAUGUGAAAGCCCCGGGCUCAACCUGGGAAUUGCAUUCGAGACUGAAUAGCUAGGGUGCGGUAGAGGGAAGCGGAAUUUCCGGUGUAGCGGUGAAAUGCGUAGAUAUCGGGAGGAACACCUGUGGCGAAGGCGGCCACCUGGUUGGAUACGUGACGCUGAGACGCGAAAGCGUGGGGAGCAAACAGGG
rnacentral:rRNA from 1 species